rnacentral:rRNA from 1 species
CUGUGCAAAGGUAGCAUAAUCAUUAGCUUUUUAAUUGAAGGCUUGUAUGAAGGGUCUGACAAAGAAAAAGCUGUCUUUAGUUUUAUUUUUUGAAUUUAACUUUUAAGUGAAAAGGCUUAAAUAUGUUUAAGGGACGAUAAGACCCUAUAAAUCUUUAUAUUAAGUUUAUUUUCUUGAAUUUAAAUGAUUUGUCUAGAUUUUGUCAAGUAAAAAUAAUAAAUAUUUUGUUGGGGUGAUGAGAAUAUAAAAAUAACUGUUCUAGAAAAAAAAACAGAGUUGUUUGUUUAUUUAUAAUAGAUCCUUUUUAAAGAUUAAGAGUUUAAGUUACUUUAGGGAUAACAGCGUUAUUUUUUUUGAGAGUUCUUAUCGAAAAAAAAGUUUGCGACCUCGAUGUUGAAUUAAAAUAUCUUUAUGGUGUAGUAGUUAUAGAAGAGAGUCUGUUCGACUUUUAAAUUUUU